GAUGAACGCUGGCGGAGUGCCUAAUACAUGCAAGUCGAGCGAACAGAUAAGGAGCUUGCUCCUUUGACGUUAGCGGCGGACGGGUGAGUAACACGUGGGUAACCUACCUAUAAGACUGGAAUAACUCCGGGAAACCGGGGCUAAUGCCGGAUAACAUUUAGAACCGCAUGGUUCUAAAGUGAAAGAUGGUUUUGCUAUCACUUAUAGAUGGACCCGCGCCGUAUUAGCUAGUUGGUAAGGUAACGGCUUACCAAGGCAACGAUACGUAGCCGACCUGAGAGGGUGAUCGGCCACACUGGAACUGAGACACGGUCCAGACUCCUACGGGAGGCAGCAGUAGGGAAUCUUCCGCAAUGGGCGAAAGCCUGACGGAGCAACGCCGCGUGAGUGAUGAAGGUCUUCGGAUCAUAAAACUCUGUUAUUAGGGAAGAACAAAUGUGUAAGUAACUGUGCACGUCUUGACGGUACCUAAUCAGAAAGCCACGGCUAACUACGUG
rnacentral:rRNA from 1 species